GGAUGGUGUUAAAGAGGUGUGACAUGUGACGUCAAUGGGGAGGUGCGUAGGGGCGGUUCUGGUCAAGGGUGUCCUCGCGGUGGCCAUCGACGAUGAAGUGGUGCUGCCUAUGGGGCGGCUUCUCUUUCUCCGGCGGGCGUGGUCCGUGGGAUCUGGUGGGUGCACAACUUCUCUUGUUGGUGCAGUCUUUUGUUGGUUCCAAUACAGUGAUGCUCCUGGGUGACUCCAGUCUGAGAAAGAGGGAAAUGCAGGUCACGCUAGCUUGCAACCAUUUUUGGGAUGGAUUGAUCGAUAGAAUGCCGAGGUAAAUGCGGUAACUAAACUGCUACUAAAAAAGAAACAUAAGAUGCUGGAGUUUUACCCAAUUUACAGUAUUGCAUGUUUGUCUAUGUCCAACAUUUCACUGUAUAGUGAAAUUCAAUUUGUGUAUUCCAGGAUUUCAUUUUGAAUAUACUAACUCAUGUUGUUGUGUUGUCUAAAUUGCCUUCUUGAUGCUUUUCCUCUUUGAAAUAUGAUUUUGUGCUAUUUACUUAAUUCUCUUUUCAUUCCAGAAGCUUGAUGCUCUGCCACUUUGAAAUAAACUAAUAUGUUAUUGCUACCAUGUGGUGUUUCUUAGGAUUCUUGCGAUCAUUUAGGGUUGAAGUAUAUUCUCCUUGCAUGACACAAGUGCUACGACUAUGAAGAUGACGUGUUGAAGAAGCACCAUCGACGUCAGCGUCACCGUCCUUGGGAUGGAGAAGACGCCACUCCCAAAUCGUCUCUGUACUGCAUCCAGGUAUACCAAAUGCUACAACUGUUCUCCCUGCCCCUAUAUGAUUGAUAUUUCACUAGCUGGCCCAUGAGAGCACCACAACUUAGGACAAUGUUGUAGUAAACGUAGAUUAUUGUCUAUUUACCGUGUGAAGAUUUGUUUACGGUGAGCUCAUGCUCUGUUAUUAGCGGACACAAAUAUUUAGUGAGAUGUUGGUUCAGCAUGUAGUUAGGCUAUGCUCUUGGGAGCUUCUGUGGCCCUCAUUGUUGUUGGAAACUCUGGUCUUUGCUAUAACAAAGCACACUUUCCUUUGGAAAUAACAAUGUCCUCAUUGAUGCUGUUUAGUUUAUACUAAUUUUUUUUGAAUGAUGUCCUGAAGGAGUGGUAUACUGAACUGUAAUUAGCACCACUGGAACAAGUUAACGUGUAGGUUAUACUCAUCCUGCUGCUUAUUUGUAUAACUGACAAUUGAACACGAUUUUUUUGGCCUUUGUAAUCUUAUCAUACUUUCCAUUUCACAUUUUUAGUUUUUACUGUUUUCAUUGUUUCUGAAGAAUGACAACUACUAAGUACUAAGUGAUACUGUAGCGGCUGUGCUCUUUAGGAUGGUAUCAGAACAACUAAAUUUUCAGUCGCGAACUAUUUGCUUCAUCAAAUUUUUCUGAAUCAUACUUUGGGAUCAGCUUCUUCUGGAGCUUCUUCUAGUGGUUCUACACCGGCGGCGACGUCUGCGGCUUCCUCCAGUUCCCCACCUUCGGGCUUAAAGCCUGGAAGCAAAUGUAACUUCCAUAUGACUUUUUUUUCUUGUUGAACAAUUUGUAAGUCUAACUGGUCAAAAAUGCACAGGCUUGGAAAUAUUCACGAAU
rnacentral:rRNA from 1 species